rnacentral:rRNA from 1 species
GAUGAACGCUGGCGGCGUGCCUAAUACAUGCAAGUCGAACGAACGGACGAGAAGCUUGCUUUUCUGAUGUUAGCGGCUGACGGGUGAGUAACACGUGGAUAACCUACCUAUAAGACUGGGAUAACUUCGUGAAACCGGAGCUAAUACCGCAUAAUAUUUUGAACCGCAUGGUUCAAAAGUUAAAUACGGUCUUGCUGUCACUUAUAGAUGGAUCCGCGCUGCAUUAGCUAGUUGGUAAGGUAACGGCUUACCAAGGCAACGAUGCAUAGCUGACCUGAGAGGGUGAUCGGCCACACUGGAACUGAGACACGGUCCAGACUCCUACGGGAGGCAGCAGUAGGGAAUCUUCCGCAAUGGGCGAAAGCCUGACGGAGCAACGCCGCGUGAGUGAUGAAGGUCUUCGGAUCGUAAAGCUCUGUUAUUAGGGAAGAACAUAUGUGUAAGUAACUGUGGACAUCUUGACGGUACCUAAUCAGAAAGCAACGGCUAACUACGUG